ACUUUGUGAGUUGUACUUUAUGAGGUAUCUUCCUAAGAUCUCAGAGGAUAAAAGAUACGUCUUGUCAAAGUUCUGUGAGGAUGUCAUCAUCAGUACUUCAUUGGUGUGUAUUGUCCAUUUUUUAAAAUAGCAUACAUAUGGUCGCAGUGCAGUGUAGAAGUUAUUUUCUUUACUUUGGUGCCAGAGAGGAACCAGGGAGUGUCCUGACCAAUGAGAGCUAAGCUUACAUCAAGUUUCUCACUUGACAUAGUGUGUAACAUCUGCCAUAGUCUGUGAUACAGACCCUGUAACAGAUAUAUCCAAGAAAGCCACCCAGAAGAAAAUGGGUACCUGGUGGGAUGAGUCAUGUGACUAUUAACCUUCUAGCCCAGCUUGGGUUAUCUGGCGUAAUAAUAUUUAGAUUGUGUAGCACUUUGAGCAUGUGCCUUGUACUAAAGCCCAUACAAUGUUAGAUUACUGCAGUUUCAGGAGGGUUCAUUCUGAAAAAUGAAGAAAAGUCUCUUGGCUUCUUUUAAUAUAUUUUAUUAAAUUAUAUUUUAUAAAGUUAAUUUAAGAACUGUUUCUCUGUAAUAUAUCUUCAUUUCAAAGACUUGAUUUUGGUCUACAUCUGCCAUAGCAAUUUGGUAUUGUGUUAUGUAUUUACUGGCAAGCAAGGGUAAGUGCAUUAUUUUUGAAAGAUAGGUUUCAUUUGAUUUUCAAGUUAAAAAUGGCAUCACUUAGCUCCAUAUAUCUAGACCUGUGCAUCACUAGAACCCAGUAUAGCAGACACAUGGUGAUGGAGAAUGUGUAUAUGAACCCAUGAGGUACUGAUGAUUCAACUCAAUCAGAUAGGAGUCAGGAGGAAGAUGGAAAUUGUAGAUUGUUUGAAUACUGAUGAGGGAAAGAAAGCAUCUGCAUGGAUACAAAUAGUAUUUAGUGAUAAAUAUCAUAAAGCUGAAUAUAUGAUGAGUAAAUAGCAUAUCAAUUUUUGGAAGUGUCACAAACAUGAAUAAUUUUGAAAUAUUUUUGACCAGAUAUUAAGCAUUUAUCUUGCAAAGCAAGAUGGGAUACCGGUGUCUUACUAUAUUAAAAAGAAUGAUCAGAUCCAAUUGUGCAAUGGCACCGCUUAAACUACUUACACCUUGUGAGUAUUUGUUUGAAUGGUAUGGUAAAUAAAUUUGACAACGAAUAUAAGAAGACAUCCUUUUAAUGAUGGCAAGGCCACAACGAUUUCAUAACAUAUAGGCCCAUAUGUUCAUAGCCAUUAUAUUUUCUCAUGGAUGCAAAUAACAACAACAAAUGCAGGAGACAAAAAUGCAAGUGAGUUAUAUUCCUUUAUUUCAUCAUGUAGAUUCCACUUCUUUCCAUUUUCUUGAUCUCAUCUGCUCAAUAAACUCAAAUAUAUUGUC